UUUUGGAUCAAGUCCAAUAGAACGACUGUGGAGAGACUCCGACGAACAGCGAGAGCAGCAGAAGGCAGAAAUGGCGAGGCUCUCCCAACGCAUCCUCUCUUCGUUGUUUCUUCUCCUACUCCUUUUCAUCUAUUCUUCGCUUCCCUAUUUCGUCGCUUCCUCGAAGAAGCCACCUCCGGCUGCUCGUAAGGGAGACAUCCCUUUUAUCCGGUGCCAGGUCUGUGAGAAGAUCGCCCACCAGAUCAUUCACCAGGUCAAGAAGAAGGAGGCUCAGAUCUCGCCCAAAAAGGUUUCAGAAUUUCAGAUCAUCGAGAUAGCCGAGAAUAUCUGCAAUUUGAAGAAGGAGGAGGCGGAUUGGAUUCUCCAGAUUGACGUUGUUGAGAAAGGUGAUAAAUUGGAGCUGGUUGAACAAGGCAUCGAAGGACAAUGUAAUUCAGAAUGUAAAACCAUUGAACAUGCUUGUCAAGAGAUCAUGGGUUACUCAGAUACUGAUGUUGCAGAAUAUGUUUUUAGUGCAAGACCUUCAAUUGAUCAGUUGGUUAAGUUUCUCUGCAAGGAUCUUUCUAAAGCAUGCUCUGUCAAGCCACCACCUAUUCCUGCGGAUAGGGUUCCUGGAGAACCUUUUAUUGCCAAGUCCUCUAAAGAUGCUGAAAUGGAAAAGAUCUUGAGAUCUAUGGAGGGUAUGCCAGGGGCACCAGGAAUGAAAAUGUAUUCGCGAGAAGAUCUAAUGAGCGGCAAAUUUGGUGAAGCUGAUGAUGAUGACGACGACGAUGAUGAUGAAGACAAUUUUUCUGAGAAAUUGGGAAAUAUUCUAAAUGACGGGAACUGGGACAGUGAUAAAGGAGAACAUAAACAAAGUAUCGGAACAGAUAAAGAACUGGUGGACAGGAAAGACAAAGGGUUCAAGUCACCCAAAAGCAAAGAAAACCGAUCUGUAGUACCCAAUAACAAUGGUUCCAAGUGGAAAUACAGUGGUUGACAGACUGCUCUUAUUGCUGAUGGAGGUACCUGUGCUAAAAUUUAAACUUAGUGGUUACUUGUUAGGUUUCAAUUCUUUUAGCAGAUAGAGAUGGAGACUGACCUUCUGUGCUAUGUUCCUGACAACCAUAAUCUCGAAGUUGGAAAUCUGCAUCAAUCCACAUUGCUCGGCACUAUGGGCAACUUUUCUGCUGUUUAUGCUAGUAGAUACUCUCUGGUCUUA